CCUCUUACCUCUUAUAGGAGUUGCUAUAAUAAUGGAGAUAGUUUUUCCAGGAUGAGCCUCAUCCUCUCCAUUCCAGAUGUGCUGAAUGAAACCAGCAAUUUCCCCAAAUGUGGGAAACUAAACUGCACAAUUCAUGGUGGUGGGCUGCAUUCACACUUUCCUU
rnacentral:snRNA from 1 species